GGGCUUUCAGUUUGUGUUUGAAGAGGAGCUAUUUAUGGGCUCGCAAACAAAGUGCCUGAGGGAAGGAAUUUCAAGGAUGUCCUUGAGCAAAUUCAGGGGGUGUUUAUUUCAAAAGGCGACACCGCUCCUUAACCCUUUAUCUUCCGGCCCAGGUCACCUCCUCCAGCGGUGUCCCCAGAAGCCUGGGAGAGAGGCAUGGUCUGGCGUGGGCUGAAAACACACCGCAUGGCCUUGGGAAAGUCACUUCUUCCCUGUGCUGCUCUUGCUCUGGAAAUCAAGGCUGGAUGGUGCCGUCCUAAGGCACAGGAAAAGAAAAGAAGUUCAUCGGCCGAGUUUUGCCUUCUAGAGUUUCGGUCACCUUGGUCAAUGAACACAGGGGCUAAAGGCUGAUGACCCUCUUUCUGACGAAUCCGCAGAAGGCUGGCCUGACCCAAGUCACCGUGACAACGUCACUCACCUUACUUCCUCUUAUCACCUAGGCAUUCUGUCAUCUCACAUCAUCACAAGGAGGGUGACCACAUAUUAGGGCUUUGAAGAGAGGAACAGUGCAUAGUCCUAGCUCUCAAGCAGUGUGUAACUGUGAAAACAAGACAUACAUAUAUGAAAGACUGAAAAGCAGUCAAGGUUACAAGGCUUCUGUCCAGAGGCGUCGCAUGAAGGUGUGCCAGCUGAAUGUCCAGAAAGACGCUCUUUAGACUUCUUAGACGUCACCAAGGGACAGACUGCGGUGUACUGACUCGUUGCUCAGGAAGCAGCCGUCAGUUGGCAGGGCCCUGCGGAAUCAGAGCACUUUGAACAGCUGCCAGACUGUCCAUCUUGUACCUACUUGGCGCGUGAGUGCCGGUGCCCAGCCCGGCUGCCAGAGGAAUGACGCUUGGCUUCUGCGUCGUCGACAGGAAUGUCUCCACCUUCGCUUUUCUUUCCACAUCCCGGAGUUGCCUCUCGGCUCCUUUUCCAAAGUGCAGGACCAGAUCGUACUCCGGAACUAACUUGUCCUAGAGGGGGCCGGUUGUCUUUUGAAGCAGGGUCUGGUUGCACUCAGGCCUGGCACUCUUUUUUUUUUUUUUUUUAAAGAUUUUAUUUACUUAUUUGACAGACAGAGAUCACAGGUAGGCAGAGAGGCAGGCAGAGAGAGAGGGGGAAGCAAGCUUCCCGCUGGACAGAGAGCCCGAUGUGGGGCUCGAUCCCAGGACCCUGAGACCAUGACCGGAGCCAAAGGCAGAGGCUUCAACCUACUGAGCCACCCAGGUGCCCCUCACAGAGCACUUUUUGCUCUGACUGAAAAGUCAUCGUCUCAAGCGUGAUCCUGUAGUUCCCAGGAUUGAAGUUUGGAUCAUACUGAAGGGAAGGGGGCAACUGGGCAGAUGGCAAACCCAAAGCUCCUCGGUUUUAAAAAUCAAAUUUGUGGGCGAAGUGAACUUGCCUGCUGUUUGAGCAUUCCAGCCCAGGCCUGCUAUGGACAGCUACACAGUCUUCAUCUCUCCCUGCCAAGAGAAAUCACAAGUAAGCAGAGAGGCAGGCAGAGGAGGAAGCAGGCUCCCCGCGGAGCAGAGAGCCCGAUGCGGGGCUCGAUCCCAGGACCGUGGGAUCACGACCUGAGCCGAAGGCAGAGGCUCUAACCCACUGAGCCACCCAGAUUUAGCCAUGUGGCCUGUUAGCUGGUUAAAUUCACCAUCUACCCCCUCUAUGUUGCAAGAGACGCUGUUUACACGGAUACCAUCUCACGCUUAUUGAAAUGGCUAAAAUCUUAAAAGACGGACUAUAUCAAGUAUUGGUGAGACUAUGAGGAAAAUGGAAUCAUCACAUCUGCUCCUGAUGGCAAUGUAAAAUGGUGCAAUCACUCAGGAAAACAAUUUAGCACUUUCUUGAAAAGUUCAACAUACAACAACCAUACGUACAAUCCAGUCAUUCCACUUCUAGAUUUGUACCCAGGAAAAAAACCCAAAUACAUGUUCAUGCAAAGACUUGUUCGCAAAUGUUCAUAGUGGCUUUAGUGGUCAUAGCCCCAAACUAGACACAACCCAAACGUUCACCAACAGUUAAGUGGAUAAACAAAAGUCUAGCACGCUCCUAAAAUGGAAUACAUUCAGCGAUAAAAAGUGACAAUGUAUUGGUACACAGAGCAACGUGGAUAAACGUUAAGAUUAUUAUACCGAGUGAAAGAAGCCACACGCAUACAAACCUCACAUACUGUUUGGUAUCAUUUAUAUAAAACUUUCAAAAACGUGCCUAAAUCUGUACUAACAGAAAGCAGAUCAGUGUUUGCCGAGGUGUGGGAGUCAGAGAGGGACGGGAAGAAGAAAUUACAAAGGGGCAUGAAGACACUUGAAGGUGAUGGAUAUAGUCGCUUGAUCUACUGAUGGCUUCAAGGGGGUACACCUCUGUCAAAAAUUAUCAAAUGAUACACUUUAAAUAUGUUCCAUAUAUCGUAUGUUAAUUAUACCUCACUAAGGCUGCCUGAAAAAGGACCAAUUAUAUGUGAGUGUGUUUUAUUGAUCCUUCAUUCAUAUUAGGCUGUGGAUUUGACUAAUAGGUAAAAUGAACAGGGAUACGGAUCCAGAGGUCUCUGAGUCCAAAGGCUGGGCUUUGAUCGAGUCACAUACUUCUUGUAAUCAAAACGCUGGGAUUCUGAGCUCUUUGGGCUCCUAAAACAGGUCUAUGUUUAUUCCUUUUUUUCCAUGUAUUUCAUGGUUCAGACUAUUAAUCAUACAAAUCACACACAUGUAUAACCUGAAUAUUAAAUUUUUCACUUGUUAGAACCUGUUUUCUCCUACAACCACUCCCAGUGCUGCUUUCCACUCCUUUUUCUCCCUCCAGGAGGCAAACCCACCUAUUUGAAUAUUAGAUACUUAUUAGUUAAAGGGUUUGCCCAAGGGAGCUCAACAACAGCAACAAAAAUAAGGGACUUUAUGAAUGACGCACGCAACUCCAGUGCUUCCCAAUGACAGUCACUGCUGAGAUGGACAGCAACCACCCAUUUGUUUGCUUUAGCCUUUCCUUUUUGACCUUGUACUUCAUCACCAAUGUCCUUUCAUGGAAAAGAGCUCAUAAUCAGCCAGCCCUUCCAGGUAACCACAGGAGAAAUCUGGGCUCCCAGGGAUGCCUCUAACCUAAGAGGGGCCCCUCCUCCACAGAACCCCAGUGGGAUCCCGGAGCUGCCCGUGGCAUGGGGAGGCUCCUCUAGAGCCCCUCAGCUAGGGCUGAUCUCCUUCCUUCAUGGUUUGGUGGGCCAGAAAUCCGGUUGCCAUAGCAACUUCCAGCACCAUUUCAGGCUAGAUAGAACAUUCCCUAAGGCUCCUCUCCAUCUGUGUGUCCUUGGCAAUUUCCCUGCCUUGGUGAAGUAGGUGGGGAACCACUUCCUCUAGGGAUCUCCCCCAGCUCCCGGAUAGUAUAAAUGGGCAGGGGAACGGCGUUGCCAUGGUAGCAACUCCUCUAGUCUUCCACUCGAAGAAAGUCUGGCUCAAGGGAUCUUCCUGGCGCUCCCAAUGGCAAAGUCAGUAAGGCACUGCAUUUUCUUAAUAGUUUCCACAAGAUUUUUCCAAGACAGGCAUUGGCUUUGUAGGGUGGCUGCUGGGGGAUGGGCGAGGAGUUUGGCUAAAGAGGCCUGUUCCCAGGGACCUGACUGCCAUGGUAACAUCCCCAGUGGCAGACACAGGGCAGGUUUCCAACCACCUAAGCCCUGGUGCCACCUUUCAUUUCUGUUCUUGUUCCUCUCUGCUCCUUUUCUUCUUUUGCACAAACCCCAGGGAUUCUGCUCGCUACAUCCCUCCUAAUUCUUGAGAUCACUGUGAUUAUGCCUUUCCCUUGCUCAAGACUUGGUUCAGGGUAGGCUGCUGUCUUUGUCUACGUUCACCUUCUCUGAUGUUCCUAAUUCCACACAUACCCCAAAGUCCUUGAAAACAGGUAGGUUUUGUAUGCGAGAUAAUGGAGGUAGAGGAGAAUAACAAAAAUAAUUGCCG